rnacentral:rRNA from 1 species
CACGGAAUUAGCCGGUCCUUAUUCAUGCGGUACCUGCAAAAACCCACGCGUGGGCAACUUUAUCCCCGCAUAAAAGCAGUUUACAACCCGUAGGGCCGUCAUCCUGCACGCUACUUGGCUGGUUCAGGCUUCCGCCCAUUGACCAAUAUUCCUCACUGCUGCCUCCCGUAGGAGUCUGGACCGCGUCUCAGUUCCAGUGUGGGGGGCCUUCCUCUCAGAACCCCUACCGAUCGAAGCCUUGGUGGGCCGUUGCCCCGCCAACAAGCUAAUCGGGCGCAUCCCCAUCCGUGACCGACGGAUCUUUGCUCCUCGUCAGAUGCCUUCAAAGGAGGACAUAAGGUAUUAGUCUGCCUUUCGGCAGGUUAUCCCUUGGUCGCGGGAAGUUGGAUACGCGUUACUCACCCGUGCGCCGGUCGCCAUCACCGGUUGCAAGCAACCGGCAUGCUGCCCCUGACCUUGCAUGUGUUAAGCCUGUACGCCAGCGUUCAUCCCUGAGCCAGGACUCGAAAACUCUCU